rnacentral:misc_RNA from 1 species
AAGUCGUAACAAGGUUUCCGUAGGUGAACCUGCGGAAGGAUCAUUAUCACGUAUCCACGUAUAAACCAUUGUGAACCGUUCUAACCUCUAGAAUGAGUGAGCUAGUUUUGUGUAUCAAACAAUCUCUAAAAGCGGCUUUUCUUGUGAUUAGUGGCCGUGGUUUGAUAUGCCACAGUCGAGUGAGCUUGCUCUCUCGAUUGUACUUGCUUGUUCUAGAGUGUAUUUUCAUUAAUCACUUCAAUUCAUUAACCAUUUUAACCCAAUCUUUAUAACUUUUAUGAACUAAUUUUAUUUCUUACUCUUUCGAGAGAAGAAAUUCAUUACGAAACAAAGAACAACUCUUAGCAACGGAUAUCUUGGUUCUC